rnacentral:rRNA from 1 species
UACGGAGGGUGCAAGCGUUAAUCGGAAUUACUGGGCGUAAAGAGUGCGUAGGUGGUUAAUUAAGUUAUCUGUGAAAUCCCUGGGCUCAACCUGGGCAGGUCAGAUGAUACUGAUUGACUCGAGUACGGGAGAGGGUAGUGGAAUUUCCGGUGUAGCGGUGAAAUGCGUAGAGAUCGGAAGGAACACCAGUGGCGAAGGCGGCUACCUGGCCUGAUACUGACACUGAGGCACGAAAGCGUGGGGAGCAAACAGG